rnacentral:lncRNA from 1 species
UUUCGGUUUCUUCAACUCUGACACGAAUGCACGGAAAGUGCAUUUAAUGCAAUCGUGAAACUGAAGUCAACCAUCCGUGAAACGAGAUGAAAAUAUUCCAUAACGGGCCGUACCUUCUCUCGGCUCGUUCCUUGCGGCAUCGAAUAUAUAUUUCUUUGAGGAAAAUGCUUCAAUCUUUCAUGUUCCAUAUCUCUUACAAAUUCCAAGUACAUACCGCACAUUUUUAAGUGCACAAUAGAACCGCGAUGGAUUAAAAAUUUUUUUCUUUCGUCAUUAGAGCCGAGGUAUAUCUUUUAAGAGAUCAAGGCUCUUUGCUGGAAUCUAUGUCCAUUUUGCAGGUGAUCAGAAACUUAAUGCGAGCAUAAAUUUAUAGAUCCCUUGUUUGGAUGCAUGCUCAUUACGCGUCGUUAUAUGUCAAUUGUACCUAGGCAUACUGUAUACUUAAGCAGGAAAGAAAUAUUUCCGUUUCGUUUAUCGGGUCCCAAGUGCGUUUCGCACUUCUUGCGUCGAUUAGUUGCGCAAUUAAAGUACCGCUCGGUGCGCACGGUAAAUGCGAGUAAUGUUUCUUAAUUAGUACCCGUGGCAUACCGUUUCGAGGGAAGACAACUGACAAUCUCGCAUCUCCUCUCGCAUUUUUACCGCAAAUUUCACGCAAGUUGGUCCGAGCAAACGGAAGAAAAACCGAACAACCUGGCCAAAAGUCCAUUUUGUAAUUUCCACGAGCACGGGGUAAAAUUCGUUUUCUCUCAUUACCAUGCCGGACGACUGGCAGGAAACAUAUCUCAACGGGCCGCACUAACUCAUUGUUCUUGGCAAACCUCGGUUUUUCCACCUCCUUUAUUCCGAUCAUUGUCUCCCUGGUAUCCCAUUAAACGGAUUUAUUACCAAGAUCCAGAUACUUAACUGGCUCGAACUUGAAAAAUCCAUUUUUUUUUAAUUACUCGCAAUCCGUAUGCCUCGAGCCUUCCCGGAUCAUACGUUGUACAAGGCGCAGAGUAAUUGGGGCGUUGUAGAUACGAGGGCAAACAAGCGAUAUUACCAUUGUCCAGAAAUGGCAUAAUUCCAGGCAAUACCGGUAACGCGGCAUGGUGUGAGAAUGUCCCAUACGAAAUGAAAUAUCACGUUGCCGCAAUUUGCACCUGAUGGCCUUAAGGCGCCUAAAAGAGCGACCGGAUCUGAAAUUAGUCGGCGUUUGCUCGCCCUCGCACGCAGAUUUCCUAUCUGGCGUCUAAUAACAAAGCCGGCGGUUCGCUUUUACGUAUAAAAAAUGAUCGGCUCCGCAAGAGCUAAACUAACCACCCUUCGUGAGCUUUCUUGCAGGAAUGCGCUUAUUACUCCAACCCAUAUAUCCACUUGGCCGUAUCCGCGUUAUGCAACUAUGCUCCGAACGGGCGCACUUGCAUGCUCCUAUCAAAGAUGCAAGAUGCAAGAUGCAAGAUGCAAGAUGCAGGAUGCAAGACGCAGCGGAUCGGAUAAAGGAGCAAAAGCAGUGGAGGUCAGGAGUCAUGGAAAGGCAUCGCUCAAGAGUCCGGUGCACCAGGAAAGGAACACCCUCUUCCAGGUUUGCUCAAGAGUCAUCUACCUCUCUUUAAAAAAAAUCGUAUUUCCAUCCUCGAAUGCUCAUUACGUAUUUUCGCACGGCACUUUGAUCCGAAUUCCGGCACGAUUAAACAAACCGAACGCCCCGUGGACAAUCAGGUAUUACUUUUCGUUUUACGGUUCAUGGCGGCUUGUUCAUGGGAACCGAGCGUAAAAUGGUGAAAGCAGAAAUGGUCCGGUACCCUAGUGCUAUCGUUUUGGAAAGACGAUAUCUCGAAGUCCCACCAUCGGAUUUACAUCGGAUCACCUCGAUCUAGCCGAUCAAUUUUAAUCCUGGAUGAGGUGGACUGGGGAUGAAGAGUACCAGAAUAUCAUAACUCAAUAAUUGAACCGAUUUGCAGGAGUGAUCGUCGGCGAGUACCUCUAAUCCGAUUCCAUCAACUCGAGAGCAGGAUUGCCCAACGGAACCGAGAUGACUUCAUAUCGAUCUGCAAACGAGGUAGCGCAAUUUCCUGUCGUCAGAUUUAAGUCUGCGUCAGGUAUCUCCUGGGCGGAAUCGAUCCUCCAGGAAUGGUAACCUUCGAGUCUUCUCGCCGACGUCCAACCAAAAUCCACCGUUUCACCGUUUGCGAAACCGGACCGUUGAGACGUUCCUGCCCAAAUGUCAAUUCUGCCUCUGGGCGACUGUGCCACGUUGUUAUAAUGACCUAUCUCGAAAAUUGGGCAACCUUUCGAGCGUCCCGGAAAGACCGAAGAACUCGACCUUGUGAGCGGUUCCGAUCCGGUUCGGGAUCUAAAGACUGGUCCCGUAUUCGUAGACCUCGCUUUCAGGAUCUUAAGAAGGCCACGUAACGAUGAAUCGUCUCGAUUAAUCUGUACCGAUCUGACCGACGCGAUGCGGUCGUAGAACUCGAUUUAACGAUAGAUACGGCUUAUCGUUACGUGUCCGGCCGCGAUCGAACGGGAUUAACGAUCUUUGGCAAUUCCGGAUGAUCGAGCGAUCCUGGACUCAUCCUCGGCGGCGUUUGUAAAUCCUUCACGACAAUCGCGCAACUCGGAUUCGCAAUAACGAACGAACGUAACGAGACAUCGUGGCGUCAUGCCCCGUUCGCACGGUAUCCAGCAAACGUUUUGCUGGAUACCGUGCGAUCGCGUUACAAGAUCACCAGGAAUACGGAUGGUGGCUCUUUCGCUAUCGGCUUGUGCAACCUCGAGAUGCAACAUCCGCGGUGCAUCUCGACCGAUUCAGUCCCGGCACGAAACGUCAGUCCGCGUCGGGAACAAAAGAUGUCGAGGUACUCCCCUGUAAACGAUUUGCAACCAUCCAGGCCGGUCGUGAAUUUUAUUUCGCGUUGAAUAAUCUGAACUUUUGCGGUUGAAUUUUUACGUCGAGUGGCCUGAAUUUUCAUGUUAGAAUUAUUAAGCGAAUUUUUACGAUAAUGCUAGGAGUUAAUACUUCACCGCCGCCUCUUCGAGUACCUCGGCUAAUUCGACGCAAGGAGAACCAAGUAAACCGAUGCACCUUUAACCAGGAUCUGGAGCAAUCGCUUAUAUCGUUACGUUACGCUAGAUUAUUGUUACGCUCGGCAUGAUAAGGACCAAGCGACAACGAUCGACGAUGUUAUUACGUGCGGAGUUACGACGGUCGUUGUCAUCGGCGAUUAGCAUUUUUCAAUACUCUCCGUCGUGCGCGAAAGAAUACGCGAAUAAGUAUUAUGUCGUUCGACGCUUUUAUAGCUUUUCUCUUUCACAUGAGUCAGACACGUCCCACGUAAACCUUCCUUCGGUUAUGGGGCAAAUGCGACUUUCUUGAUGGUCCACUGCGGGCGGUAAUAACAUUUAAUCACCCUGAUAUAUAUAUCGCACAACCAGAGACGAGCUUUUACUUGGCUCGGGUCGAUACGAUAUCUCGAGUCUCGCCUCCUUUUUACAAGCAUUGUUGACCAUUGUCCAGGUCGUCAAUAAAGAAUAAAAUAUGUACCCACGCGUUACCCAUGCUUGAUCCUUCGCGUAACUCGAGUUUAGAAUGAAGUCUAUCGCGGUUAAACUACACUGUUAAGAAAAAAAUUAUAAUUUUGUAACUUUUUUGUUGGAAGUUUCAUUCCGACAUGAUAUAUU